rnacentral:lncRNA from 1 species
UAAGAUAUAUAAUUUACAUAUCACAAUUUUUAUACACAAAUAUGUUUAAAGAAUUUUCUUUUCUACAACAAAGUACUAUUUUGAAUUGUAAUAUUUCAAUGAAUUAUGAAACUUUUAAUAGAUUUGAAGUAAAGUCAAUGAUAUUCGAUGAAAGUUUAUAUUUUUUCUAACAAAUAUAUUGUUACGCAUUCAUCCUUUUUUUUUAUUUUCUAUCUAACUUAAAAUUUUAUUCUUGUUUUAAGUAUUAUCUUAAAAUAUUUUAACCUUUUUAACACUCAUUCUAGUCUUGGUAAUUUUAUUGA